AUUGAACGCUGGCGGCAUGCCUUACACAUGCAAGUCGAACGGUAACAGGUCUUCGGAUGCUGACGAGUGGCGAACGGGUGAGUAAUACAUCGGAACGUGCCCGAGAGUGGGGGACAACGAAGCGAAAGCUUUGCUAAUACCGCAUACGAUCUCAGGAUGAAAGCAGGGGACCGCAAGGCCUUGCGCUCACGGAGCGGCCGAUGGCAGAUUAGGUAGUUGGUGGGAUAAAAGCUUACCAAGCCGACGAUCUGUAGCUGGUCUGAGAGGACGACCAGCCACACUGGGACUGAGACACGGCCCAGACUCCUACGGGAGGCAGCAGUGGGGAAUUUUGGACAAUGGGCGCAAGCCUGAUCCAGCCAUGCCGCGUGCAGGAUGAAGGCCUUCGGGUUGUAACUGCUUUGUACGGUAACGAAAGAACUCUGGUUAAUACCUGGGUCCAUGACGGUACCGUAAGAAUAAGCACCGGCUAACUACGUGCCAGCAGCCGG
rnacentral:rRNA from 1 species